rnacentral:rRNA from 1 species
GACGAACGCGGCGGCGUGCCUAAUACAUGCAAGUCGAACGAACCGCGACUAAGUGCUUGCACUAAGUCAAGGUGAGUGGCGAACGGGUGAGUAACACGUGGGUAACCUACCUCAUAGUGGGGGAUAACAGUCGGAAACGACUGCUAAUACCGCAUAGGACAUAGGAUCACAUGAUCCAGUGAGGAAAGGUGGCGCAAGCUAUCGCUAAGAGAUGGACCCGCGGUGCAUUAGCUAGUUGGUAGGGUAAAGGCCUACCAAGGCGAUGAUGCAUAGCCGACCUGAGAGGGUGAUCGGCCACAUUGGGACUGAGACACGGCCCAAACUCCUACGGGAGGCAGCAGUAGGGAAUCUUCCGCAAUGGACGCAAGUCUGACGGAGCAACGCCGCGUGAGUGAAGAAGGUCUUCGGAUCGUAAAGCUCUGUUGUUAGAGAAGAACAGCGCAUAGAGUAAACUGUUAUG